CUCCGGCUCUGCCCGCGCGUGCGCGGUGUGUCGCGCGCCUCCUCGAGGCCUUGGCUUCCUCAGGAGCUGUGUGGCGGUGCGUAGCUGAGGCGGAGAUUGCUUCCACGCGCUCGGCGUCAGGAACAGCGACCGCUCCGUUUAGCCAUUUCCACGGGUGGAGUGUUUCCGUGGCCAGAGUCUUCUCACAUACUUUCCAUGCCACUCACUACAAAUGGCAAAGGAGGAAACUGAGGAGAAGGGCUAUCAUCCAACUCCAGAGGACUCGAGCCCAGACGCCAGAUUUUCACUGCUCGCCUUUUUUUCCCCUCAGAUAAAUCUGAGCCCAAGGAAUGGGAGCUUGCUGGAAGCCAGACGCCAGCCUGAGGGGAA
rnacentral:lncRNA from 1 species